GCAAUAAUGGUCGUCGCAGCUGC
rnacentral:siRNA from 1 species